rnacentral:rRNA from 1 species
GGAAUUCGAUUAACGCGAAGAACCUUACCUGGGCUAGACAACGGCGGACCAUUCUAGAAAUAGGAUUUUCCUUUCGGGGACCGCCGGUUCAGGUGCUGCAUGGCUGUCGUCAGCUCGUGCCGUGAGGUGUUGGGUUAAGUCCCGCAACGAGCGCAACCCUCGUCCUUAGUUGCCACCAUUAAGUUGGGCACUCUAGGGAGACUGCCGGCGUUAAGCCGGAGGAAGGUGGGGACGACGUCAAGUCAUCAUGGCCCUUAUGUCCAGGGCCACACACGUGCUACAAUGGGCGGUACAAAGGGUCGCAAACCCGCGAGGGGGAGCCAAUCCCAAAAAGCCGCUCUCAGUUCGGAUUGGAGUCUGCAACUCGACUCCAUGAAGUUGGAAUCGCUAGUAAUCGCGGAUCAGCACGCCGCGGUGAAUACGUUCCCGGGCCUUGUCACACCGAAUCACUA